GUCUAUGUCCAUGCCACCCUGAAUGUGCCUGAUCUUAUCUGAUCUCGGAAGCUAAGCAGGGCUGGGCCUAGUUAGUACUUGGAUGGGAGACCACCUAGGAAUAUCAGGUGCUGUAGGUG
rnacentral:rRNA from 1 species